GAAAGUUUCAUAUAUGAAAAUAACAAAUAUAUGUAGAAGACAAAUUCCAAGGAACUAUGUCCUCUUGCUUACAUGCAUCUAAAAUUUGUUAAGAGUUUGAAUAUCAAAUUUUGUGAUAAUGUCUAUCUACGAAGAACUAUAGGAUGUGGAUAGUUCUGAUUUUUUUUUUUUUGAAAACCCCUAAGUAUGUUUUCCUAAAAGAUUUUUCACAAUUUCAUCGAGUAGCUAGAUGUUUUUGCAUUGAAUAUUUUAGCCAUCUAUGGAUACACUAUACAUGAGUAAAGUUUAUUUUUUUUGGAAAUUUAUUUCUUCUUGCCAAGUUGUUGAGAACUAGACCGAUAUAUAAUAGUUGUCACCAUUAUGAUGAAGAAAACCAAGAAAAUUGCUUUAGUUUUUUUUUUCUCUCCAUGCACUUUUGUAGGGAUUCACACGGUUCAAGCGAGCAUAUGAUGUUGUUUCUCUGUUGACGAGUACGUGGCCCACGGGUAUCAUCCUCACAGAAGCCAUAACCAGCAAGACAAAAAGAUGGGCCAGGUCAACUAGCUAGGAGGAUUCCACCAAGGGUACCUCGUCUACAUAAGAAUAUAAUUAAGUCAAAUAUAUAUGGUUGUAACCGAAUAUGGAACAAUUAUUUAUAAACCGAGAUUAGGAUUUGUAACCUUACGCCAGGCCAUAUAAGGCACGUAGGGAGUUCCCUGAUCGGUAUGCAUGCACCAAAUAGAUAAUGAUAGUGAUCGUGGCACUCAAGAUGCUCAAGCAAUACAUCCAUCAUCAUAGACUGGAUGUAGGACAUCCCAGCCAAAACUACUUCUGAUUUGUUAGGCAUGAUAUGCGAAGCCUUUAGGCAAUAUAUUCAUUGUAACUUGGUAGUGUUUGGGCAUGAUAUGCCAACCUUCUGUCCGGAAUGAUGUAUGUCUGGACUGAAACUUGCUAGUGUUUAGUGGCUCUGCCAGUGCUAGACAAUAGACGGUAUGGUUUUUACUGAUCGUCUCUACAAAACUUAUUUGUAGAUGAGGCGGUAUGUCAACAGCUUAGAAGUGUCAACAGCUUAUUAGAAGUGGAUGGUGAGGUACGUCGCCGGUCGUUUUUCUAAUAUUUAUUUGACGACGGGUGAGGGAGGGUGGAUUUUUCUAUAAUCUACACGGUGCUUGAGGCCCUUGGAACACUGGAAUUCUUUCCGUGAGAGAGUAUCUAUCUAUAUUAUUGCUGCCGCAAAAUUAAAGUACGUGUGACGACGACACACACAUAUCUGCCCAUGCAUGGGCGGGUCGGCACAAAUGGAGCGGCUCGGAAAAAGACGACGUGCCAGCAGGGCUCGUCAGCUACUAUACG
rnacentral:lncRNA from 1 species